rnacentral:rRNA from 1 species
GAUACCCUAUUAUUUAAAAUGUAAAUAAUAAAAUUUAAAUUACUAUUAGUUAUGUUCUAUAAAAAUAAAAAUUUUGGCGGUAUUUUAGUCUUUUCAGAGGAACCUGUUUCUUUAUCGAUAGUCCACGAUUAUCCCUACUUUAAUUAUAAAUUUAUAUAUCGUUGUUUAUAAAAAUUUUAUUAGAAUUAUAAUUUUUGGAAUUUAUUAUUAUACAAUAAUUCAAAUCAAGGUGUAGUUGAUAUUAAAGUGAUAAUGGGUUACAUUAUUUUUAUUUAUGGUUUUGUUUAUUUAAAAUAGCAAUUAAAUUGGAUUUGAAAGUAAUUUUGUUAAUAUAAUUAAUUUGAUUAAGCUCUAAAAUAUGCACACAUCGCC